UUCAGAUCCAGAUGUGCUUCAGGUACAGCAGCAAAUGGUUCUUACCACAGAUUUACCAAGGAUUCUUACCACAAAAUUGCACCAAAUCUUUCCCCAAUCUACUACAAGUAGUUAGAGCCCAUCUCAGAAGCCCAUAGUGUUAUCAGUAACCCAGGAGAACAAAUCAGGAUGAAGAAGGGGACGAGAUGUUAUUUCUGGAAACAUGAAAUGUCAGAAGACAGAGAAAGAUACAUUGAAAAAUUGUGAAACAUCCAAUAAAAAGACGGCAAGUUACUUGUUACGCAGGUACCAACACCUUGGCCCACUAGAGGC